rnacentral:rRNA from 1 species
UGNAUCCAGAGAACUUAGCAGAGAUGCUUUGGUGCCUUCGGGAACUCUGAGACAGGUGCUGCAUGGCUGUCGUCAGCUCGUGUUGUGAAAUGUUGGGUUAAGUCCCGCAACGAGCGCAACCCUUAUCCUUUGUUGCCAGCGAUUCGGUCGGGAACUCAAAGGAGACUGCCGGUGAUAAACCGGAGGAAGGUGGGGAUGACGUCAAGUCAUCAUGGCCCUUACGAGUAGGGCUACACACGUGCUACAAUGGCGUAUACAAAGAGAAGCGACCUCGCGAGAGCAAGCGGAACUCAUAAAGUACGUCGUAGUCCGGAUUGGAGUCUGCAACUCGACUCCAUGAAGUCGGAAUCGCUAGUAAUCGUAGAUCAGAAUGCUACGGUGAAUACGUUCCCGGGCCUUGUACACACCGCCCGUCACACCAUGGGAGUGGGUUGCAAAAGAAGUAGGUAGCUUAACCUUCGGGAGGGCGCUUACCACUUUGUGAUUCAUGACUGGGGUG